rnacentral:rRNA from 1 species
AACGUAGGAGACAAACGUUAUCCGGAGUUACUGGGCGUAAAGGGCGUGUAGGCGGUUCGUUAAGUCUGUUGUGAAAUCCCCGGGCUCAACCUGGGAAUGGCAAUGGAUACUGGCGGGCUAGAGUGUGUCAGAGGAUGGUGGAAUUCCCGGUGUAGCGGUGAAAUGCGUAGAGAUCGGGAGGAACAUCAGUGGCGAAGGCGGCCAUCUGGGACAACACUGACGCUGAAGCACGAAAGCGUGGGGAGCAAACAGG